UCUCCGUUGGUGAACCAGCGGAGGGAUCAUUACCGAGUUUACAACUCCCAAACCCAAUGUGAACGUUACCAAACUGUUGCCUCGGCGGGAUCUCUGCCCCGGGUGCGUCGCAGCCCCGGACCAAGGCGCCCGCCGGAGGACCAACCAAAACUCUUUAUGUAUACCCCCUCGCGGGUUUUUUACAAUCUGAGCUAUCUCGGCGCCCCUCGUGGGCGUUUCGAAAAUGAAUCAAAACUUUCAACAACGGAUCUCUUGGUUCUG
rnacentral:misc_RNA from 1 species